rnacentral:rRNA from 1 species
CAGCAGCCACGGUAAUACGUAGGGUCCGAGCGUUGUCCGGAAUUACUGGGCGUAAAGAGCUCGUAGGUGGUUUGUCGCGUUGUUCGUGAAAACUCACAACUCAAUUGUGGGCGUGCGGGCGAUACGGGCAGACUGGAGUACUGCAGGGGAGACUGGAAUUCCUGGUGUAGCGGUGGAAUGCGCAGAUAUCAGGAGGAACACCGGUGGCGAAGGCGGGUCUCUGGGCAGUAACUGACGCUGAGGAGUGAAAGCGUGGGGAGCGAACAGGAUUAGAUACCCGUGUAGUCCCUGUCUCUUUACA